AUGGCGGCGACCUCGCCGGCGCCGACGAGGGCCGCCGCGGCGCUCACCCUGGCCCCGCAUCGAAGGGUCCACCAUGUCCACAUGCCUUCCGGCCGCCCCUGCCCCUGCCGCACUUCUGCCUCUCCUCGGCGGCGCACUCCGCGAUGCCGCGCGAAGCCGACAGUCAAGGGCGUGGUCGACGACGACGAGGACGCUUCCCGGGAGUCCGACCCUGAAAGGAAGGAGGAGGAGGAAGCUAUGACUGCGACUGGUACGCUGCCGGGAUGGCUCAGGCUUGACACGGUUGGGAUGGAUAUCCUGAGCAUCGCCGCGCCCGCUGUGCUCGCGCUCGCCGCCGACCCCAUCGCUGCGCUCGUCGACACCGCCUUCGUCGGCCAUAUAGGUUCAACCGAACUUGCUGCCGUGGGUGUAUCGAUUUCGAUCUUCAAUUUGGUGUCGAAGUUAUUUAAUGUUCCACUGCUUAACGUGACUACAUCUUUUGUUGCUGAGCAGCAAGCAGUAGAUGAUAGUUAUAGAGGAACAGGAGAAAAUGAAUUUCGAAGAUUCCCAGAUAAUAAGUUGACAGAAGAAAGGAAGUUUCUUCCGGCAGUCACGACAUCUUUGGCUCUAGCUUCUGGUAUUGGGUUGAUGGAAACUGUGGCACUUAUUUUUGGAUCUGGAACAUUGAUGGAUUUCAUCGGUAUACCAGUGGAUUCCCCAGUGCGUAUACCAGCCGAGCAAUUUCUUACUUUUAGGGCAUAUGGUGCUCCACCUAUCAUAGUAGCACUUGCAGCACAGGGUGCAUUUCGUGGGUUGAUGGAUACAAAGACACCUUUGUACGCUAUUGGUGUUGGUAACCUAGUAAAUGCAAUACUUGAUGCCAUAUUUGUCUUUCCGCUUGGUUUAGGAGUAAGAGGUGCUGCGUUGGCGACUGUAACAUCUGAGUACGUGAUAGCUUGCAUCCUCCUUUGGAAGUUGAAUAGUAAAGUAGUAAUCUUCUCAGGAAAGAUCAUUGGUGGUGGAAUGAUACGCUACCUGAAAUCAGGUGGACUGCUGAUCGGUAGGACCAUAGCAGUGCUCCUCACCAUGACACUGUCAACAUCUCUUGCUGCAAGGGAAGGGCCUGUUCCAAUGGCUGGCCAUCAGUUAUGCUUGCAAGUAUGGUUAACAAUCUCUUUACUCAAUGAUGCAUUAGCUCUUGCUGGACAGGCUCUGCUUGCAACUGAAUAUACGAAAAGAAAUUACAAGCAGGCGCGCAUGGUUCUCUACAGAGUUCUGCAGAUUGGAGGGGUGACUGGUACGGCACUCGCUAUAAUCUUGUUUUUUGGGUUUGGGUCUUUCUCCUCGCUGUUCACAGACGAUCCAGCAGUUCUGGGUAUUGCCAAAUCUGGUGUCUGGUUCGUCGCCAUCUCCCAGCCAAUAAACGCUGUUGCUUUUGUGGUUGAUGGGCUCUACUAUGGUGUAUCUGACUUUGCAUAUGCUGCCUACUCCAUGUUCUUUGCAGGAGCCAUAUCAUCGGCUUUCCUACUUGUUGCCGCUCCUGAAUUUGGUCUUGGUGGCGUCUGGGCCGGUCUCAUUCUUUUUAUGAGUCUGCGAGCAGUUGCUGGGUUGUGGAGGUUGGGGAGCAAAGGUGGACCCUGGAACUCGAUCUUGUCAGAGACUGACUUACGCGACAAAAUGUGA
rnacentral:rRNA from 1 species